UAAUAGGCAAGCUGUUAAGAAAGUCUUCAAAAUAAGAGUGUCAGACCGUCCAGAAGACGGAAAAGCUGAUUCAAGGUCUAAUUAAGGAGAGGUAAAGAAAGUGUAGCAAAGUAACAAAAAUCAACCAUGGAAGUCCGAAGGCCUACAGGUUUCUCUUUAUGAUUCUUUAAUGAUCUAGCAGAUGGGACAUCAGGAUGACUGUAUUGGGAAAAGGCCACCUAAGCCUGUAGAUGGCCUGAAUCUGUCUUUACUACUAAUGGAAGUGUCAUUCCAGGAGACUGUUUGUGCAGAGAAGCAGUGUAAUACUGCCUCGGAUAAUUGCCAUUCUACCAUUUUUCUAUUCACAUUCCAGGACUGGUCACCAGGGCACAAGCUGUUCUUGGCUGCGUGGCCCAUACCAUUGCAUACUGACACACGCCAGUUCAGAUUCACACAAGGAAAUCUUUGUGGUUAAAACCUGAACGCCUGUGGAUUAACCUACCACUGCAUUUAAAUCACUGAAAAUCAAAACCCUAUUCCUCAUGCCUGUGGGAAGAGAAUAACAUACAUCUUGAUUUGGUUGCCUUUGUAAUAAGUAUAAUUCCUUGCAGGCUUACAAAGAAGAACAGUCACCUAAUAAUCUUGCAGAUUAAAAACAGAAGCCUAUGCUAAUGAGCUAGGAGAGCCAAAUUCUACUUCCAUUUUUAACUGUGCCUCAUUUAAUGACUUCAGAAUGCAGCUCAAGGUCUGAUUCAUCUCACCUAAUUUAACCAUCUCACAGUUUGGCAUCUAUUGUACAAUAGCUAACUAGACUUGAAAGUAAAUAAAAAGAGAAAAUGAAAAGAAUCUUCUCAGAUAGUAUCUAAAAUAGGUGUGGUAAAUGCUCUCUAGAUGUGCAUCUCUCUUUCUGCUACUAGGCGGGAUUAGAUGGCUCAAAUGGAUCAGAUGCCUUUUAUUUUAUGGUUACUAGCUCACUCUCAGUCUAGGGUUUCUCAGCAGUCAGUAGAACAAGAUGCCCAUCUUCAGUGUAUGAUUCAUCACACUUUUCUUCAAAACUUAUUUUGGAAUGGGAUAAAUCCCUUCUGAAGUUGCCUCUGCAUCUCCGCUGGCUAAAAGCAACAUGGAAUAGACUUCCAUCAAAAGUCGCUCAAGAUAGCUAAGAUAAAUGCCAGCUGCAGAUAACACGUCUAUUGCAAUUGGUGAAAGUAAACAUUUUAAAAUUGCUUUUUAGCCAAGUUUAAGUGUUCAGUUUGAUCAUUAUUAAUUAGCGCUGUUAAGAUAUAAUUGGAGAGGUAUUACCAGUUUAGAAGCCCAAUGUAACUUUUAAAAUUUUAAAUAGGGAUUAUUCUAUCUAUUUAAGUAUGACCAACAACAGCAACUCAUUAAAACAUCUGCUAGAAUGUGAUUAUUAGUCUAAAUUGAACUUCUGGAUAGAACAUUCAGAAUUUAUACUGUAAUUAAUUCUCAGGUUUAAGUUUCCACCAGUUCUAUCAGAACAGUCAAACUCCUUCUGUCGUAUUUUCUUAUGUGUCAUGACAAUUCUCUGUGACAGCAGUAAAUUUGACAGAACCCACAGUGCAUUCCACCAACACAACUGUUUUAAUUUACCUUAUAAUUCAGUGACUUACUAGGACACAUUCUGUGUUUCUAAACAACUGAUCUCCUUCAAAGACACUCACUUUUUAAUCUUGGCAUGAAUAUUGAAGUUUACACAGAUAAGCAAGCUGAAUACACAGUGUGAGAGAACUGCAAAGCUCAUUUUGCUAAGAAUAGGGGUUACAGAGGUGCACACUGCUGCUACACUACAUACUUGUCUUCACAGAGAAGGGACGAUUUGUUCAUGAACAUAAUAAAAUGGAGCCAUUAGAACAAAUGCAAAUUUUAUAGAGGAAAAUUUCACAUAGACACUUUUCUUUCCAACUACUUUGUUCAUUUGAUCAUUCUCAUUUGGCUUUUUGUUUGUAAGUUUUAAAGAAGUUUUUAUUGUUGUAUAAUGACAGCUAUGUGAAGAAUGGUCACACAUACCUAGGCAAUGAAAAACUGAAAGGAAAGAUGCAGAUCAUUUACCAAAUACCUAGACUGUGAGUCAAUAUAUUUUUGGAUGCCUCAAGUUUUACCAGUGUGUGAUGGAAAUUACUAAAAUUGAGGACAGCAAGGCUACUGCUGCUAAAUUAUGACUUAGAAUUAAACCAAAUGAUUCAAACCUUAAAUCAGUAAAAUGGCAAAGAAGGACAUAGUCAUGUAUAAAGCAUAAAGCAAUC